GCCCGGCUGGCUCAGUCGGAAGAGCCUGCGACUCUUGAUCUCGAGGGUCGUGAGUUUGAAUCCCACACUGGGUG
rnacentral:tRNA from 1 species